AGUGAACGCUGGCGGUAGGCCUAACACAUGCAAGUCGAACGGCAGCACAGUAAGAGCUUGCUCUUACGGGUGGCGAGUGGCGGACGGGUGAGGAAUACAUCGGAAUCUACUUUUUCGUGGGGGAUAACGUAGGGAAACUUACGCUAAUACCUCAUACGACCUACGGGUGAAAGCAGGGGAUCUUCGUACCUUGCGCGAUUGAAUUAGCCGAUGUCGGAUUAGCUAGUUGGCGGGGUAAAGGCCCACCAAGGCGACGAUCCGUAGCUGGUCUGAGAGGAUGAUCAGCCACACUGGAACUGAGACACGGUCCAGACUCCUACGGGAGGCAGCAGUGGGGAAUAUUGGACAAUGGGCGCAAGCCUGAUCCAGCCAUACCGCGUGGGUGAAGAAGGCCUUCGGGUUGUAAAGCCCUUUUGUUGGGAAAGAAAAGCAGCAGGUUAAUACCCCGCUGUUCUGACGGUACCCAAAGAAUAAGCACCGGCUAACUUCGUG
rnacentral:rRNA from 1 species